GACCGCGUAGUUCAGUUGACAGAGCAUUGGACUAGUAUUCCAAAGGUCGUAGGUUCGAUUCCCACCGUGGUCA